UCCAUUAUUACUUUGAAUUUUUAGUUUUGUUUUCAUGUGUUGCUUUAUCUUCUUAAUUAAAUUAUCUCUUCUAGGGAGAAGACAUCUUACUCUUAUUGGAUCAUGCACAGUGCCUGAAGCAUUCUGUUGCAUGUAGAAGUCAGUAAAUUGCAGAUGUAAGAUUCAAAACCAGACUUCACAUCUACCGACUUCAGUGACCCUGAAAUUUGUUCACAGAGAGCAUUUAACAUAACUGUCUUCAUCAUCUCCUUCUCUACAUUAAAAAUUAUGGAGGCCUUACAAACUGGUAGAAGAUGCAUAACAGAAGAGCUUAUGAAGUUAAAGAUGACAGCAUAGCAGCACUGUUCACAAAGACGUUAUUGGUGAUUCAAUCUUGAGUCAUGAAAAGUCAACCUUGAGCCACAAAAAGUCAACCUUGAGCCAAGCAGAUUGGAGAGUCAUACAUGCCAUUCCUGGGACCAUCAAAAAUGGCAGAGGUCACACAAAAAGGCAAAACUUUUAAGAGGUGUUUUAAACGUCGUAUGGGCCAAAGAGAAGCUGGAUUUCCUAUUGGAGUCACCUGUAACACACGUGUGACGAAAUUGGCCUGUGAGGACAAGGCAGUGAGCAGAGAGGACAGCAGUCCUUAUGAGAUCAAGCUCUAAGGUAUCCUAGACACAUUUGGAGAAUUCACCUGAGCUACAGGAUGUGAAAAGUUGCUAAAACUGCUGUGAGAUUCUGGCUAAGAAAGUUUCAUGAGAAGUUUUACAGAAAAAUGUGAACGGAAGACAGAACUAGAUAUAAAUUUGAA
ensembl:lncRNA MIR7515HG MIR7515 host gene